rnacentral:rRNA from 1 species
CUACGGGGCGCUGCAGUGGGGAAUAUUGGACAAUGGGGGAAACCCUGAUCCAGCAAUGCCGCGUGUGUGAAGAAGGCCUGCGGGUUGUAAAGCACUUUCGGUUGGGAGGACUGCUUCUAGCACUAAUAUUGUUGGAAGUUGACGUUACCUUCAGAAGAAGCACCGGCUAACUCCGUGCCAGCAGCCGCGGUAAUACGGAGGGGUGCAAGCGUUAAUCGGAAUUACUGGGCGUAAAGCGCGCGUAGGCGGCUAGAUCAGUCGGGUGUGAAAGCCCCGGGCUUAACCUGGGAACUGCAUCCGAUACUGUCUAGCUUGAGUACAGGAGAGGAGAGUGGAAUUCCACAUGUAGCGGUGAAAUGCGUAGAUAUGUGGAGGAACACCAAUGGCGAAGGCAGCUCUCUGGCCUGAUACUGACGCUGAGGUGCGAAAGCGUGGGGAGCAAACAGGAUUAGAUACCCUAGUAGUC